UACGAGGGGUGCAAGCGUUGCUCGGAAUUAUUGGGCGUAAAGGGGAGGUAGGUGGUCUCAUUUGUCUGGGGUGAAAGCCUUGAGCUUAACUCAAGAAGUGCCCCAGAAACGGUGAGACUGGAGUCUUGGAGAGGGUCGUGGAAUUCCCGGUGUAGCGGUGAAAUGUGUAGAGAUCGGGAGGAACACCAGAGGCGAAGGCGGCGACCUGGACAAGUACUGACACUCAACUCCGAAAGCGUGGGGAGCAAACAGG
rnacentral:rRNA from 1 species